rnacentral:lncRNA from 1 species
GGCCUCGACCACGACCUCGGCCUUUAGUGGCCCCAACUGGUGGUACUAGUGGUCGUCCCUCCUUUGCGGUAGCACGCGUCCUCACCAUCUGUAAGAGAAUGGAAUAACAGAAGUUUAGUACUCAAAUCAACAAAUUUGCACAACAAGAAUUUCAAGAAUAUGAAGUUUUUCCUAAAGAUUUAGCAGCCUCCCAAUGAUAAAUACAGACGUCUCCAUACCAAUCCACGAGACUCUACUAAACCGGCUCAUGAAUUGCGAAACCUAUGUAAUAUAGGAUCUUAUACCAACAUGUCACGACCCCAAAUACCGGUCGUGAUGGCGUCUAUCAUGUUACUAGGCAAGCCAACCAAUCAGCUAACCACAACCCAUUUUCCUUAACAUUAAGCCAUUUUCUAACACAAAUUUUAAAUAUUAAUUUCAUUAUAAGCGUUAAAACAACAAAAAUAUGCGGAAGGUCAAAAUAACAACAGCUACACAGCCCAUAAUCUGGUGCCCCGAGUCUAGAGCCUCUAAUAUAAGUCUGAAAAACCAACUACAUAAAUAGUCUAGAAAAGUGCAAAAUGAUAAGAAGAUAGAGGGGCAAAAUCAGGGUUACGAACGCCAUGCAGCUACCUCGGCAUACCCGGCAAAUGCUGAAACAGCUGAAAGCUCUCACUCAUCCACUUGGGCACCUGGAUAUGCACAAAAGGUGCGGGGAGUAGCGUGAGUACACCAAAUGCGUAAGUAACUAAAGUAAAUAAAGACUGAAAGUAGUGACGAGCAGUUCAAACAUAUAACUUCAAAAUUAAUUUCGUUAGAAGAAUUAUCAUUUCCAGUUUAAAACAUUGAAAUCGGAUACAUAGCAAUAUAUUCAACAGAGUCUUAUUUCAAAGAAUAGUGAAAUAGUGAAAACAUCAUCACAGGGCCCUUCAGGCAAGGAAUCACAUAGAAAGUGGCCCUCCGGGCAGCCUCUCAGUCACUCGUGACUCAACUCUCAUCACACAUUACUCACUCUCAGCAGUUGUCUCAGUAUUAUCUCAUAAUAAUAAAAAUCAUAAUAACCGUUGUGGCGUGCAGCCUAAUCCAUAUAUAAUAAUCGACUACACUCACUGGGAUGUGCAGACUCUGGAAGGGCUCCUGCAGCCCAAGCGUCAUAUCGCUACGCAUACAUACAUAUACAUACAUAUAUAUCGUUGCGACGUGUAGCCCGAUUCAUAACUCACAUAUAUAUAUAAAUAUCCUCACAAUUGGGUUCUCAACCUCUCUCAAUCCUUUACCUCACAUCCUCUCGGGCAUAACAAUAGAAAUUAGGGAACUCAACCCAAACAGAUCUCACAAUUAAGAGUAUAGUAAUAAAACCAGUUUUAAAACAUUUAAGCAGGUAAAACAUAACUGAGGAUAUGCUUGUAACAAGUAAAGUGAGGAAAAUGGUCAAAAUGCCUGUAAGGGUUUAUAUAAGUCGGCACAAGGCCCCAAACGUGGCAUACGGACCAUAGCACAGCAUAAGAAUCCAAAGUACGGAAUAAUAUAACAUUUCCAAUCAAUUACGCGGCUUAAUAGUCGCUACGGGACGGCCCGAAUCAUAAUCCCUAUCGGGCACGCCCACACGCUCGCUUUUAUCAAAACAAGUCAAAUACCGAGAUUUUAUACCCUCAAUUCCACAUUUACAAUGGUUAUUUACCUCAAACUGAUGAAAAUACUACUCCGUGAGGCCCUUGCCCCUCCAAUCGGCCUCCACUCGCAUUGAAUCUAUUCAAAAUCAAAAUCAUGGAGUCAAAAUAUGCUAGGGAAAUGAAGCCCAAGCGAAAACAAUCAAAAAAUACCAAAAAUCUCGAAAUUGGCCAAACCUGACCUCCGGGCCCACGUCUCGAAAUUCAUAAAUUUCCACAUUAAUAGAUUCCUUAUCUCCUCAUAUACAUAUCAAAAGUUCUCAAAUCCGACCCCAAAUGGUCCUUCAAAUCCCAAAUCAAAAGUCCAAUUUCACAUCAUAGUAUACUAAGGGAACAAAGCCUAAGCGAAAACAAUCAAUAACGGGCACAAAUCCUUAAAUUUCCAAAAUCGGAGCCCCGUGCCCACUUCUCAUAACUCAGAAAAUUUUCACAUCAAUAGAUUCCUUAUCUUUCCAUGAGUUCAUACAUACCAAAAAUUCUCAAAUCCGACCUCAAAAGGUCCUUCAAAUCCCAAAUUCAAAAGGCCAAUUUCUCAAGCCCUAGUUCUUCAAUUUUAGGCUUAGUUUUCAUAAUUUUCUAGGUGGAAUUCAAAUAAUAAUCGAGUUUUUAGUCCAAGAAUCUUACCUCCCAACAAUGCCCCUUGAAUCCCUCUUCAAUCUCCUUCAAAAAUCUCCAAAAGCGAGCAACUAUGGAGGAAAUGUGACACAACAUCCUGAACAAGUCGAGUUAAAGACAUUCUGCCUAGACCAUAAUUUCCUUCUUCGCGAACACGGUCAAACCCUCGCAUUCGCAAAGCACAAACUUACUUGAACAAAUUUUCCUUCUACGCGAUCACAACCAAACCCUCGUGAAUGCGUUGCUUCACCUAGAUGACCCUUUGCGAACGUGCACCAUCUCCCGCGAACGCAAAGAUCAACUUGAAUUCCAACCCAGCUGACCUAAUUCUUCUACGCGAUCGCAGAGUCCUUCUCGCGAACGCGAUGUACCACGGCCCAACCCUCCGUGACUGCGAAGCCCUUCUCGCAAACGUGAAGGAUUAAUCCUUGCCUUCCUCAACUGCCUCUUCGCGAACGCGAGGCUCCACUUGCGAAUGCGAAGGGCAAAAUUCCUGCAACAGCUGAACAGAUUUUUCUACAAUUUUCUAAACUCCAAAAUAGCCCGAUUGACCAUUCGAAACUCACCUGAGACCCUUGGGACCUCAACCAAAGUCACCAACAUAUCCUAAAACAUUAUUCAAACUUGUUCCAAUCAUUAGAACACUUCAAAUAACAUCAAAUUACCCAAAACAUAUCGGAUUCAAGCCUAAGUUUCUAAAAUCUCCUGAAUUACGCUUUAGAUAAAAAAUCCAACCAAACCACAUCCGAAUGACCUGAAAUUUUACACACAAAUUUCAAAUGAGACAACAAAGCUACUGCAACUCUUAGUAUUCCAUUCCGACCCUUAUCGAAAUCUCGCCUACCAAUCGGAAAUCGCCAAAAUAUCAACUUUGCCAAUUCAAGCCUAAAUAUACUCCAAACCUCCAAAACCUAUUCCGAUCACAUUCCUAUGUCAUAAAUCACUUUCGGAAGCUAAUCAAACUAUCAGAAGUCACAUCCAUGUCCUCUAACACUUAAGCCAACAUUUGAUUGACUUUUCUAACUUAAGCCUUCUCAAAAGAGACUAAGUGUCUCAAACCUUACCAAACUCCUUCCGGGUUCGAUCCGACCAACCUGAUACCACAAAACACGAAUAAUGAAGCAUAAAGAAGCAGCAAUAGAAAAAAUAAAUCGAUAACCCAUGAGAUGACUGGUCGAGUUGUCAUAUUGUUUUUACUUCAUCGCCUAUUUCUUCUAUCACUUCUUCCAAAUCACACACUCAUUCUAUUUCUCUUAUUCCUCUUCCUCUUCCUUCUCCUCAUACACCUCAGUUGAGGAGGGAACACCAUCAACCAAUUCAUCUUAAUGACUAUAUGUGCAAUGCAAUGUACCUCAGUAACCUUACUUCAUCUUGUUUCAUUCUACCCGUUUUUCCAUCCAUCUUUCCCUUUUCAGCAUUUUGCCACACCAACCACCAAUUGUUAAAUUUUAUAUCCUAUAUUUCAGAACCACUAAGUUAUAUGCAGGCAUCACUGCAUCCAGGAUGGCAUCAACGAAGGGCUGAAUUCAAUCAAGAAGAAGAAAAUUGUAGACCCCGUCCAUGACAAAUGAAUAAUCUCCAAUAAAACAUGGAAAGUUGUUGAGCUUCCAGUUGGUAACAAAACUUUUCCAUAUAAAUAGGUGUAUAAAGUAAAACAUAAAUAAGAUAGGAGCGUAUAAAGACUGAAAGUUAGACUUGUUGUUAGAGGGGACACUCAAAAGGAAGAAAUAGAUUUUAAUGAGACUUUUUCACUAGUGGUUAAAUAUUACUACAAUUAGGUGUAUUCUUGCAGUAAUAGUGAAGAAGAAUCGGGGAAUUUACCAAUUAGCUGUGAAUAAUGCUUUCUUACAUGGAGACCUAUAAAAACAGGUCUAUAUGAAGUUUCCUCCAAGGAUGUAUCCCUAUAAUUCUAAUCUAGUGUCCAGACUGUGCAAAUCCUUAUAUGGUUUAAAAAAGACAUUACGUCAGUGGUAUGCAAGAUUAAAUGGAACCCUCAAUUUCAAGGGAUACUCAUCUUCCCUAAACGAUCAUUCUCUAUUUUUCAAGAAAAAAGAUGAUUCUAUUUCUAUUUUUACAUUUUAUGUUGAUGAUAUCUUGUUGACCGGGAAUGACUCUGUGAACUCAGUAAUCUAAAAGCUUUUUUGGACGCAGAGCUUAAAAUCGAGGACCUUGGAUAUGUUCAUUAUUUUUUGGGGAUGGAAGUUAUCAGAGAAUCACAUGGAAUUAUAUUAAGCCAUAGAAAUUUUACCUUGGAUUUUCUUACAUGUACAAACUCUCCAAUUGUCUCAUCUCCCCUCCCUUAUUUUCUAACAAUAAAAUUCUUUUUUUGAAAGGCCAGUAACAAUGCGGUAGUAGUUGCGGAACUACUGGGCCGGGAGAGGACAACCUCUUGUUCCUGCUCCUCUUUCUUCGCUUCGGGGACGGAGGUCCU